rnacentral:rRNA from 1 species
UGCCAGACUCCUACGGGAGGCAGCAGUGAGGAAUAUUGGUCAAUGGGCUUACGCCUGAACCAGCCAAGUCGCGUGAGGGAAGACUGCCCUAUGGGUUGUAAACCUCUUUUGUCAGGGAGCAAUUGGCGCUACGUGUAGCGUUAUCGAGAGUACCUGAAGAAAAAGCAUCGGCUAACUCCGUGCCAGCAGCCGCGGUAAUACGGAGGAUGCGAGCGUUAUCCGGAUUUAUUGGGUUUAAAGGGUGCGUAGGGGGAAUGCCAGGUGAGCGGUAAAAUCGGGGGGCUCAACCCCGGCCAGCCGGCGGAACUGCCGGGCUAGAGUGGGCGAGAAGUGCGCGGAAUGCGUGGUGUAGCGGUGAAAUGCAUAGAUAUCACGCAGAACUCCGAUUGCGAAGGCAGCGCACCGGCGCCCUACUGACGCUCAGGCACGAAAGCGUGGGUAUCGAACAGGAUUAGAUACCCGGGUA